rnacentral:rRNA from 1 species
UACGGAGGGGGCAAGCGUUGUUCGGAAUUACUGGGCGUAGAGGGCUCGUAGGCGGCCAACUAAGUCAGACGUGAAAUCCCUCGGCUUAACCGGGGAACUGCAUCUGAUACUGGAUGGCUUGAGUUCGGGAGAGGGAUGCGGAAUUCCAGGUGUAGCGGUGAAAUGCGCAGAUAUCAGGAGGAACACCAAUGGCGAAGGCAGCUCGCUGGGACGUGACUGACGCUGAGACGCGAAAGCGUGGGGAGCAAACAGG